AAGAAAAGAAAAAGAAGGAAAAGAGAAGGAAAAAAAAAAGAAAAUGGGUUUAGCCAAAUUUGACUAACCCAAGCCCAAUUAGGCAGGGCUAAGUCUAAAUCCGAGCCUAAUUAGAUUGGGCUAAGUCUGGGCGAGUCUAAACUAUAAGUUGGGUUAAAUCCGAGCUAAUUUAGGUUAAAUUGAAAUGGGUCCGAACCCAAUUAAGCAGAGUUGGUCUCAGCAGACCUAAUUGAUUGUAAAUCAGGCUCAAUUCAAGCCCAAUUCAACUGACAGAAGGUCGAAUUGACCUUGGGCUAAUCCUGACUCAGGCCCAAAUGAGCCACAUUGACCAAAUCAAAGGGCCCAAUUGGCUGGACCCAAUUAUAAACGAAGCCCAAUCCUCUAAUUAAAAACCCAAUCAACCCAUGUGGACCUAAUCUGGUUUUAAAUCGAGCCCCAAAGGCUCUAAAUUGGGUAAAUUGGACUUGGGCUAGAUCCUUGGAUGAGAUCCAAGCAAGUAAAUUCAUAGUAUGAUGAGUUAAGAGAUUUUAUAAUAAAUAAAUGGGGAAUAAUGUAAACCCUAUGAUGUUGUUUUAGGUGAUUAAGGAUUUGUCACCUGGACUUGAGCAAUUUGGAAAGCGAAUUGAAGUAAGUAAUCUGCCUUAAUCUUAUCGUAGAUCUUGUAUUACGUUUUAUAAGAUGAACCAGCGUUUUUCAUACAAUUUGAAUUGUAUACAUGAUUUGUGAAGAAAGUAAGUAAUCUAUCUUAAUCUUAUCGUAGAUCUUGUAUUACGUUUUAU
rnacentral:lncRNA from 1 species